CGGCACGGGUGAGUAACACGUAUCCAACCUGCCGUCUACUCUUGGACAGCCUUCUGAAAGGAAGAUUAAUACAAGAUGGCAUCAUGAGUCCGCAUGUUCACAUGAUUAAAGGUAUUCCGGUAGACGAUGGGGAUGCGUUCCAUUAGAUAGUAGGCGGGGUAACGGCCCACCUAGUCUUCGAUGGAUAGGGGUUCUGAGAGGAAGGUCCCCCACACUGGUACUGAGACACGGACCAGACUCCUACGGAAGGCAGCAG
rnacentral:rRNA from 1 species